CCUGGACUGCACGUUUUUGAAAGAAAGUUAAUUUACAUUAUUUAAUGGUAAGCAAUUCAACUAGGUUCAGGUAUUAACUUCUCAAGGCAUAGUAUAAACUCUUUCUGGAUUAUAGUUCUCUAAAAGAAGGAGAUGAAACAAAAUAAAAUAGCAAUUAGAGGGCUUAAAAGAUUAUUAUUUUGCUGCUUCUAUUCUUGAUGUUUUCUAUUGUAAAAGUUCGUUUUUGAGGAAUGCCCUUUAUUUUCUUUAUCUUGUUGAGAUUUCCUUCGACAUGAUUGUUGUGACGAGCUUAACUGUUCUAGAUUGUGCUGAUAUAAUAGAGUUGGUUAAGAAAAGUACAAGGGUGGGACAGCGCCCCUGCGGGGACCACAGUGCUGCCCGAAGGACAUGGCUGCAGAUUUUGAUUCAGACUGAUACUGGGGAAUGUUUGCCGGUGACCUAUCCUGAUGCUCCAGAAGCUGAAAGAAAUGGACAGCAUAUAUUUACAACGAAGACUAGUUGCAGAUGGGCAAUAUGCACCAUUUUGGGCGUGCAGAAGUGGAAGAAUAUGAAAGAAAGGGGAGAAUGAGUCCAAGGCUCGUUCUUUCAGGCAUGCUUCUUUGUGUUAUA
rnacentral:lncRNA from 1 species